rnacentral:rRNA from 1 species
CAAUAGCGUAUAUUAAAGUUGUUGCGGUUAAAAAGCUCGUAGUUGGAUUUCUGCUGAGGACGACCGGUCCGCCCUCUGGGUGAGGUAUCUGGCUGCGGCCGUUCUGGCAUCUUCUUGGAGAACGUAACUGCACUUGACUGUGUGGUGCGGUAUCCAGGACUUUUACUUUGAGGAAAUUAGAGUGUUUCAAGCAGGCGUACGCCUUGAAUACAUUAGCAUGGAAUAAUGAGAUAGGACCUUGGUUCUAUUUUGUUGGUUUCUAGAGCUGAGGUAAUGAUUAAUAGGGAUAGUUGGGGCAUUGCGUAUUAAUUAGUCAGGAGGUGAAAUUCUUGGAUUUAUUAAAGACGGACUACUGCGAAAGCAUUUGCCAAGGAUGUUUUUCAUUGAUCA